rnacentral:piRNA from 1 species
UGCUGAUUGGUAGUCUUUGGUGAAUUUGAAU